rnacentral:lncRNA from 1 species
UCUUGGAGUUCUAGUUCACCUUUUUGGUGUUGUUCUUGUACUCAUCUGUUUAAUCUAGUUCUGCCACUUCUUCUUGAACUUCUUGUUAGAUUUCAAGUCUGUAUUUUGUGUCCGUGACAUGUACUCCUUGAGUAUAGCCAACUCUUUUUGUAAUAGACUAUAGAUUGGUCCAAAUGAUGGUUGAUCUUCUUGAUAAAGAUUGAUGGAAAAAUCAUGAAGAUAAUGCUUUAGAAGAAUAUUUGCA